AUGAUAAUUGAGAUGGAAAAGUUGUCAUACGAGGACAGAAACCUAAAGAUGAGAAAUACCCUGUUGGACCAUGGCUACUUGGCUUGUUUAUAUUUGUUGUUUGUGGAUCUGCUUUAUUCCAGAUUAUCCA